GGCUCAGAUUGAACGCUGGCGGCAUGCCUUACACAUGCAAGUCGAACGGCAGCACGGAGCUUGCUCUGGUGGCGAGUGGCGAACGGGUGAGUAAUAUAUCGGAACGUACCCUAGAGUGGGGGAUAACGUAGCGAAAGUUACGCUAAUACCGCAUACGAUCUAAGGAUGAAAGUGGGGGAUCGCAAGACCUCAUGCUCGUGGAGCGGCCGAUAUCUGAUUAGCUAGUUGGUAGGGUAAAAGCCUACCAAGGCAUCGAUCAGUAGCUGGUCUGAGAGGACGACCAGCCACACUGGAACUGAGACACGGUCCAGACUCCUACGGGAGGCAGCAGUGGGGAAUUUUGGACAAUGGGCGAAAGCCUGAUCCAGCAAUGCCGCGUGAGUGAAGAAGGCCUUCGGGUUGUAAAGCUCUUUUGUCAGGGAAGAAACGGCGAGAGCUAAUAUCUCUUGCUAAUGACGGUACCUGAAGAAUAAGCACCGGCUAACUACGUGCCAGCAGCCGCGGUAAUACGUAGGGUGCAAGCGUUAAUCGGAAUUACUGGGCGUAAAGCGUGCGCAGGCGGUUUUGUAAGUCUGAUGUGAAAUCCCCGGGCUCAACCUGGGAAUUGCAUUGGAGACUGCAAGGCUAGAAUCUGGCAG
rnacentral:rRNA from 1 species